rnacentral:rRNA from 1 species
GAUGAACGCUGGCGGCGUGCCUAAUACAUGCAAGUCGAGCGAACAGACGAGGAGCUUGCUCCUCUGACGUUAGCGGCGGACGGGUGAGUAACACGUGGAUAACCUACCUAUAAGACUGGGAUAACUUCGGGAAACCGGAGCUAAUACCGGAUAAUAUAUUGAACCGCAUGGUUCAAUAGUGAAAGACGGUUUUGCUGUCACUUAUAGAUGGAUCCGCGCCGCAUUAGCUAGUUGGUAAGGUAACGGCUUACCAAGGCAACGAUGCGUAGCCGACCUGAGAGGGGGGGCGGCCAGAGUGAAACAGAGACACGGCCGAGACGCCAACGGGAGGCAGCAGUGGGGAAUAUUGCAUAAUGGGCUAAAGCCUGACGAACUAUAGUAGCGAGAUAGAUGAAGGUAUUAGGAUCGUAAACCUCUGUUAAUAGGAAAGAAAAAAUGUGUAAGGACCUACGCCCGGCUAGACGGUACGGUAUCAGAAAGCAACGGCUAACUAGGUG